rnacentral:rRNA from 1 species
AUUGAACGCUGGCGGCAGGCCUAACACAUGCAAGUCGAACGGUAACAGGAAGAAGCUUGCUUCUUUGCUGACGAGUGGCGGACGGGUGAGUAAUGUCUGGGAAACUGCCUGAUGGAGGGGGAUAACUACUGGAAACGGUAGCUAAUACCGCAUAACGUCGCAAGACCAAAGAGGGGGACCUUCGGGCCUCUUGCCAUCGGAUGUGCCCAGAUGGGAUUAGCUUGUUGGUGGGGUAACGGCUCACCAAGGCGACGAUCCCUAGCUGGUCUGAGAGGAUGACCAGCCACACUGGAACUGAGACACGGUCCAGACUCCUACGGGAGGCAGCAGUGGGGAAUAUUGCACAAUGGGCGCAAGCCUGAUGCAGCCAUGCCGCGUGUAUGAAGAAGGCCUUCGGGUUGUAGAGUACUUUCAGCGGGGAGGAAGGGAGUAAAGUUAAUACCUUUGCUCAUUGACGUUACCCGCAGAAGAAGCACCGGCUAACUCCGUGCCAGCCGCCGCUGUAA